UGUUCUCUUCGUAUGGUAGAAGUAAACCUCUCCUCUUCGUGUGCGCUCUUGCACUUGGCACACUCAACUCUUCUCCUGCUUCAUUUCGUUUCUGCACUGUUGGUUUGCAACCAGCUUUUAGAAAAUCAUCCUGUCAGUGUGCCACCGGUGUACGGUUUACAUUCACACGUUAAAAGUAUAAACAAAUUACUAUUUAAAGUUUUAAAUAAUUUUAAUUAUUUUUUUAAAAUUUUUAUUUAAAAUGCCACACUAUAAAUAAAAUAAAAUAAAAUUUGUUUUUGAAUAAUCUCGUGUUACUUCGUCGCGUGUUCUUUUUUCUUCUUUAGAAAACUGUGUUAAAAGAAGCGAUAUUGAGAACAAGAUUAGAAAAAAAAGAGAAAUGUCUAUAGUGAACUGAAGUGUAAACCGGAAUUGACAAUGUUUAAUUGAAAAAUAAUGAAAAUAUAAGACGAAAGAAAUGUUGGGUUGUUAGGAAGCGAAGAAGAUAACAACGUUUCUUCUCCUGUUGGCAUUUUAACCGAGCGUCCUUGCAAGAUUUCUUAAUGACUACUUUAUUAAUGAUCACAUCCGGGUAUUAGAAUGGACAAAUGGACAUGCGCUGCAUCCUUCUAGUUGUCCUUCUCGAAGCUCUUUAUCCAAUAAAUUCCGAGCUGACGGAAUAUCAGUCUAGCAUAUCUUCAAUAACCAGGCAAAAUCAAGGAGAUAUCUUUCAAACUGAAGAUAAAUUCUGUAACCCGGACGUUUGCAUAGGGUUAAGCAGCGGUACAGCAGCUGCCGUCGAAGACUCGAAAGAGCCGUUCUGCACCUGCCAGUGUCAUCGACAUCUACCAACUUUCAGAGAAGACAUCCAGAUAUGCGUCGAUGACA